rnacentral:rRNA from 1 species
UACAGAGGGGGCAAGCGUUGUUCGGAAUUACUGGGCGUAAAGGGCGCGUAGGUGGCCUUCUAAGUUGAACGUGAAAUCCCUGGGCUCAACCCAGGAACUGCGUCCAAGACUGGGAGGCUUGAAUCCGGGAGAGGGAUGCGGAAUUCCAGGUGUAGCGGUGAAAUGCGUAGAUAUCUGGAGGAACACCGGUGGCGAAGGCGGCAUCCUGGACCGGGAUUGACACUGAGGCGCGAAAGCCAGGGGGGCAAACGGG